ACUCAUUUCUGUUGCCCUAUAGCUUUCCUAUAAAAGGGCAUAACUUCCUAAUCAAGUCAGAGUGUUAGAGAAUGAAAAAUACUAAAAACAAUAAAAAAAAAAUGCCUGAGUUUGAAAAGCUUUUGAAAGAAUGCUGAAAUUCCUGCACUCUUUAGUCAAAAUUGGUUCAAUUCUACCUUAAAACUUCCUAGUUGAUCAUAGUAUUUGAGUCUUCAAGGAUGGGUGUUCAUUUGGGUUUUCUGCUGGUUUGAAGAAGUUGGUUUUGAUUUUGUAUUGGUGGGACUUUAUGCUGAUUCUACUGUUGUUGUUGCUAACUUUUCAUCCUUCUUGGUUCUCUUUUAAUUCCCAGGUAUUUUUUCUGGAUCUUACUGACUUUGAAGAUAAAAUCAAAGUAUGAAAUGGAAAAUGGAGUUUAAAGCAUAGCAUCAAUGCAUCUGUUUAUGAUUCAGUUGUAUUUUCUAUGAUACAUUGUCUUUUAUUAGCUGAUUCAUUGUAUUUUUUAGUUAAUUUCUGGUUUUGAUAGUCAAAUGCUGAUCAUUGCAUUUAAUUUUGGAUUGUUAUAGUAUGGAC
rnacentral:lncRNA from 1 species